rnacentral:rRNA from 1 species
CCCAGGUCAGGCGGGGCUACCCGCUGAAUUUAA